rnacentral:rRNA from 2 species
GCAGUCGAGCGACAGAUGAGAAGCUUGCUUCUCUGAUGUUAGCGGCGGACGGGUGAGUAACACGUGGGUAACCUACCUAUAAGACUGGGAUAACUCCGGGAAACCGGGGCUAAUACCGGAUAAUAUUUUGAACCGCAUGGUUCAAUAGUGAAAGACGGUUUCGGCUGUCACUUAUAGAUGGACCCGCGCCGUAUUAGCUAGUUGGUAAGGUAACGGCUUACCAAGGCGACGAUACGUAGCCGACCUGAGAGGGUGAUCGGCCACACUGGAACUGAGACACGGUCCAGACUCCUACGGGAGGCAGCAGUAGGGAAUCUUCCGCAAUGGGCGAAAGCCUGACGGAGCAACGCCGCGUGAGUGAUGAAGGUCUUCGGAUCGUAAAACUCUGUUGUUAGGGAAGAACAAAUUUGUUAGUAACUGAACAAGUCUUGACGGUACCUAACCAGAAAGCCACGGCUAACUACGUGCCAGCAGCCGCGGUAAUACGUAGGUGGCAAGCGUUAUCCGGAAUUAUUGGGCGUA